AUGUUACAUCGGUAUGCUCGGGAACUAUGCUUGAGAUAUGACUAUACUUGUUGCUCUAGGAUGAAGGCUCCACACCUUCCCUCUUCAUGCAAAUUAAAUGAUGAUAAAACCUUGGCUUCUUAUGCUAAUGGUAUAUAUGAUUACUAUGAUGUGGAACAAAUAGAAGAAUUUGUUGCUUUUAUGGGUGCUUAUGAAAUUGAAUCUUUGUUUAAAGAGUGUGAAAAUUUUGAUGAUUCGGUUUAUAGACCUGAAAAUUUAGCUAUCCUUAAAUAUUGCUAUGAGAAUUAUGAAUUCAAUUCCGAUAUUGAUGAUUUUAUUGAUAGAGUCUCCGCUGUCCAAGAAGAGACUAAUACUUUGUAG
rnacentral:rRNA from 1 species